rnacentral:rRNA from 1 species
GGUUAAGCGACUAAGCGUACACGGUGGAUGCCCUGGCAGUCAGAGGCGAUGAAGGACGUGCUAAUCUGCGAUAAGCGUCGGUGAGGUGAUAUGAACCGUUAUAACCGGCGAUUUCCGAAUGGGGAAACCCAGUGUGUUUCGACACACUAUCAUUAACUGAAUCCAUAGGUUAAUGAGGCGAACCGGGGGAACUGAAACAUCUAAGUACCCCGAGGAAAAGAAAUCAACCGAGAUUCCCCCAGUAGCGGCGAGCGAACGGGGAGGAGCCCAGAGCCUGAAUCAGUGUGUGUGUUAGUGGAAGCGUCUGGAAAGGCGCGCGAUACAGGGUGACAGCCCCGUACACAAAAAUGCACAUAUUGUGAGCUCGAUGAGUAGGGCGGGACACGUGGUAUCCUGUCUGAAUAUGGGGGGACCAUCCUCCAAGGCUAAAUACUCCUGACUGACCGAUAGUGAACCAGUACCGUGAGGGAAAGGCGAAAAGAACCCCGGCGAGGGGAGUGAAAAAGAACCUGAAACCGUGUACGUACAAGCAGUGGGAGCCUCUUAAUGGGGUGACUGCGUACCUUUUGUAUAAUGGGUCAGCGACUUAUAUUCUGUAGCAAGGUUAACCGAAUAGGGGAGCCGAAGGGAAACCGAGUCUUAACUGGGCGUUAAGUUGCAGGGUAUAGACCCGAAACCCGGUGAUCUAGCCAUGGGCAGGUUGAAGGUUGGGUAACACUAACUGGAGGACCGAACCGACUAAUGUUGAAAAAUUAGCGGAUGACUUGUGGCUGGGGGUGAAAGGCCAAUCAAACCGGGAGAUAGCUGGUUCUCCCCGAAAGCUAUUUAGGUAGCGCCUCGUGAAUUCAUCUCCGGGGGUAGAGCACUGUUUCGGCAAGGGGGUCAUCCCGACUUACCAACCCGAUGCAAACUGCGAAUACCGGAGAAUGUUAUCACGGGAGACACACGGCGGGUGCUAACGUCCGUCGUGAAGAGGGAAACAACCCAGACCGCCAGCUAAGGUCCCAAAGUCAUGGUUAAGUGGGAAACGAUGUGGGAAGGCCCAGACAGCCAGGAUGUUGGCUUAGAAGCAGCCAUCAUUUAAAGAAAGCGUAAUAGCUCACUGGUCGAGUCGGCCUGCGCGGAAGAUGUAACGGGGCUAAACCAUGCACCGAAGCUGCGGCAGCGACGCUUAUGCGUUGUUGGGUAGGGGAGCGUUCUGUAAGCCUGUGAAGGUGUGCUGUGAGGCAUGCUGGAGGUAUCAGAAGUGCGAAUGCUGACAUAAGUAACGAUAAAGCGGGUGAAAAGCCCGCUCGCCGGAAGACCAA